AACGGCCGCGGUAUCCUAACCGUGCAAAGGUAGCAUAAUCACUUGCCUAUUAAUUAUAGGCUAGAAUGAAUGGGUUAACGAAAUAAAGACUGUCUCAAUUAAUCACCUAAAAAUUACUAUCUAUCUGAAGAAGAGUAGAUAAUCUCGAAGGACAAGAAGACCCUAUAGAGCUUAAUUUUAAUUAUAGAGCUACACUAUAAAAAUAUUCGGUUGGGGCGACCCAGGGCUAAUCAAUCACCCACUACAUAAAAGAUAAAUUAAUCAAGUAAUUGACCCCUAAAAGAUCAUAAGAACAAGCUACCUUAGGGAUAACAGGCUAAUCCCACUCAAGAGUCCUUAUCAACAGUGGGGUUUGGCACCUCGAUGUUGGCUUAGG
rnacentral:rRNA from 1 species